rnacentral:rRNA from 1 species
UACGGAGGGUGCGAGCGUUGUCCGGAAUCACUGGGCGUAAAGGGCGCGUAGGCGGCCUGAUAAGUAGGGGGUGAAAUCCUGCGGCUUAACCGCAGGGCUGCCUUCUAAACUGUCAGGCUGGAGCACAGUAGAGGCAGGUGGAAUUCCCGGUGUAGCGGUGGAAUGCGUAGAGAUCGGGAAGAACAUCAGUGGCGAAGGCGGCUCACUGGCCCGGUACUGACGCUGAGGUGCGAAAGCGUGGGGAGCAAACAGG